AACGAACGUUAGCGGCGCGCUUAACACAUGCAAGUCGCACGAGAAAGGGCUUCGGCCCCGGUAAAGUGGCGCACGGGUGAGUAACACGUGGAUAAUCUUCCCUCGGGCGGGGGAUAACAUUCCGAAAGGAGUGCUAAUACCGCAUAAGACCACGAUUCCGAAAGGAGUUGAGGUAAAAGACCGGCCUCUAUAUAUAAGCUGGCACCUGAGUUCGAUGAGUCCGCGUCCCAUCAGCUAG
rnacentral:rRNA from 1 species